rnacentral:rRNA from 1 species
ACGAACGCUGGCGGCGUGCUUAACACCUGCCAGUCGCACGGAAAGGCCCUGCUUGCAGGGUGCUCGAGUGGCGAACGGGUGAGUAACACGUGGGUGAUCUGCCCCUUACUUUGGGAUAAGCCUGGGAAACUGGGUCUAAUACUGGAUAGGACCAUGCUGUAGGUGGUGUGGUGGAAAGAUUAGUUUCGGUAAGGGAUGAGCUCGCGGCCUAUCAGCUUGUUGGUGGGGUAAUGGCCUACCAAGGCGUCGACGGGUAGCCGGCCUGAGAGGGUGGACGGCCACAUUGGGACUGAGAUACGGCCCAGACUCCUACGGUAGGCAGCAGUGGGGAAUAUUGCACAAUGGGCGCAAGCCUGAUGCAGCGACGCCGCGUGGGGGAUGACGGCCUUCGGGUUGUAAACUCCUUUCAGCCAUGACGAAGCCCUUGUGGUGACGGUAGUGGUAGAAGAAGCACCGGCUAACUACGUG